rnacentral:rRNA from 1 species
GCAUAUCAAUAAGCGGAGGAAAAGAAAUCAACCGAGAUGCCCUUAGUAACGGCGAGCGAACCGGGCAAAGCCCAACUUGAAAAUCUCCAGCCUAUGGCUGGCGAAUUGUAGUCUAGAGAAGCGCUCUCUGCCCCACCCCGGCCCCAAGUCCCCUGGAAAGGGGCGUCAAAGAGGGUGAGAACCCCGUUGGGACCGGAUUUUGGGGCUCCACGAGACGCUUUCGUAGAGUCGGGUUGCUUGGGAAUGCAGCCCAAAGAAGGUGGUAAAUCCCAUCUAAGGCUAAAUACAGACGGGAGACCGAUAGCGAACAAGUACCGUGAGGGAAAGAUGAAAAGAACUUUGAAAAGAGAGUUAAAAAGUACUUGAAACUGUUGAGAGGGAAGCGAUUGGAUCCUACGGGUGCGCCCAGGCACACGCCUGCCUAACGGUUGGCUGAAUGCGCUGGGUGCUGGUCAGCAUGGGUUGUCCGGGCGGGAUAAAACCGGGGGUUGUUACCCCGGCUAUGUCGCCUGGCCGACCGAGGAACGAAGGGCGCUCUUUGAGUCCUCCGGGAACUGCGCCCUCAAGAUGCUGGCGGAAAGGUUCUAAUCGGCCCGUCUUGAAACACGGACC